CAAUAGCGUAUAUUAAAGUUGUUGCAGUUAAAAAGCUCGUAGUUGGAUUUCUGUUCUCGAGGAUCGGUCCGCCUCACGGUGAGCACUGGUUUUUCUUGGGGACAUCCUCUCGAAGGCGGGUGGUGCACUUAAUUGUGUGCUGCUUUGGAUUCGGGACCUUUACUUUGAAAAAAUUAGAGUGUUCAAAGCAGGCGUCGGCUUGAAUACAUUAGCAUGGAAUAAUAAGAUAGGACCUCGGUUCUAUUUUGUUGGUUUCUAGGACCGCCGUAAUGAUUAAUAGGGGAUAGUCGGGGGCGUCAGUAUUCAGCUGUCAGAGGUGAAAUUCUUGGAUUUGCUGAAGACUAACUACUGCGAAAGCAUUCGCCAAGGAUGUUUUUCAUUAAUCAGGGAACGAAAGUUAGGGGAUCGAAGACGAUCAGAUACC
rnacentral:rRNA from 1 species